rnacentral:rRNA from 1 species
GACAGAGGGGGCAAGCGUUGCUCGGAAUCACUGGGCGUAAAGGGCGCGUAGGCGGGAUGGCAAGUCGGUCGUGAAAUCCUUCGGCUCAACCGAAGAACGUCGGCCGAUACUGCCGUUCUUGAGGGAUGCAGAGGAGAUUGGAAUUCCCGGUGUAGCGGUGAAAUGUGUAGAGAUCGGGAGGAACACCGGUGGCGAAGGCGGGGUCUCUGGGCAUCUCCUGACGCUGAGGCGCGAAAGCGUGGGGAGCGAACAGG